rnacentral:lncRNA from 1 species
UCAAUUUUAGUUGUCCGUUUCAUAUACGAAAAUGAGCUCAUUAUAAUCGAACUUGUUUUUCAAAUCAAAGCCAAACCGGCGAGUAUAAUUUUCAAUUCUUAGAAAACAAAAAUACAUGGCUGUGGUUCUGAUUUCAUUCAAAAAUGGAUCCGACUGGCAGGUUAUACGAUACAGAAUAACAGAAAAAGAUUAUACUACCAACAUAAGUAUUUCGGUAAUAGAAUAAGAUAUCAUGUCAUAUUGAUGAUAGAGUAAAUCAACUAAAAUCUGACACAGUAAAUCUACUAAACAGAUCAUUACACGGCUGUAGAAGUGUGAUCUGUCUUAGAUUAAUUCAAAUAAAUAUAAAAUAAAUUACAAGGCUGCCAAGGAGAAGGGCCUGGUUUUUGAGAUUGUAACUGUAUUGUAACUUUCAAUUGUAUGUGCCGAUUUCCGAUAGCUUUUUUCUUGAAAAAGAUCUAUUGCUCUGCCAACCUCGGAUUGACAUGAAUUGAGGUUGCACAUACCGUGAAUCAACCCAUAGAAGUGUGACCUGUGUUGCACAGAUAGUUAAUAACCAAUGAUGGCGUAAGGAGAAAAAGAAGGGUGAUGGCUUGCUUGAAGCAUCGAUCGAACAGAAGAUGAGUAAUUUGGGGAUCGAUACGGGGGCUAGGGUUUGACGUGAAGAUAAUGGAGGAUGUAGAUAUUGGAGGCGGAGUGAUGAUUUUGUAGCCAAUUGGAUAUAUAUAAAAGAAUUAGUUGGGCUUGGAUAACUACCAGUCUACUACUAUAGCAUCGUGCUGAUAUGUUGGGCUUCUGCUUGACUAUUGAUUAUGAUUCCUUUUAUUUACGAUAUCACGUAA